rnacentral:hammerhead_ribozyme from 1 species
AUUCAUUUAGUCCCAAAUAGGACGAAACGCGCGUCCUGGAU